GUUCAGGGCCUUGUUUGUCUGCAGGAUGGAAAGGGAACAAACAACAUACGGUUGAUACGUUUUGAAAACUCUUAAGAAAGAAAGCGUGCAGAAGAACACAGGAGAAAUGAUUAAUUGGCUCCUCUCCAACAGCUGACUGCCACUAAAGAGCAUAUCAAAUGAACAUGCAUGACUCAGAGAUCUCCUACGGCCCGGCAGCCUUUGAAGUCCAGGAAAUGUAGCGAAAGAGUGAACCUGCGGACCAAGGGCUCGAGCCCCAAGUUCAACCCACCCUGUAACAGAACCGCACGGAGGAAGAAAGAGAGCAGUGAAGGAGGAGAUGGGGAGGAGGAGGGAUGGCGGAAGAAUUGCAGCUAGACUCGGAGGCCUGGAGGCCCAUAAUGAUGAUUGACAGGCCUAGGAUCAAGAAGGACGGGAUUUGUAUUCGGCACGCACCUGCUGGUGAUCAUCAGUGACCUCGAGCCCUCUCAAACAAUCCCACUUAUAAAUAUGGGAAACAUGUAGGAGAUACUGAAAUGUGCUGUUUAGGUGUCAUACAAUAAAAUCUGAUUUUUUAUAAGAUUCAGAUUUGAAUACAAAGCAAUGUACAUUGCAGGCAAUAACCUGAAAACUCAGAAACAUAAAAGUGUAAGAUGUAAUUUGUAUAACCAUCAGGAUAAAACUGUAACCUUACACAACCCAAUAAUUAUCUGAGCAUUAAACUUCAUCAUUGAUGGGAGAUGAACAAAGCUUUGAUGAAAGAACUUUGCUAAGAAAAUGAAAAGAUGUUUGGAAUUAUUGUUAGAUCAAAUGCAAGAGAAGUUUCAAAGGAAGCUACACUUUUCAUCAAAUAUUCAUCUGCCUACUAUGGAUGACUGCAUGCAUAACAUACGUCUAACUCGUUUUGUAGGUAACUGAAUUUCAUGUUUUGUUAUUAAAGGUCACAUUCUUUCUGAUUCCAUGUUUAAACCCUAGUAAUGUUGCUAUAAUAGCAUAAAUAAUACCUGUAAAAUUAUAAAGCUCAAAGUUCACUGUCAGGUGAUUUAUUUUCUUUAACAGAAUUCACCUUUAAGCCUACAGCGAACGGCCGGUUUGGACUACAGUCCUCUACUUCCUGCUUUAAUGAGGUCACUAGAACAGUUUUUUGACUAAACUCCACCCACAAGAAUACUUCAGUCGCCAGCUAAGCUAACGGCAAGCCAAGCUGCUGUCGAAUCACAACACACUAAACAAACUACACAAUCAGAGCUCUUUGCGUAUUUCUGCAGGAGGGACUUCAUAGAACAAGGAAGACAUCAGACCGUUUUGAGGACAGUGAAAUAGAUACAAGAAAAUUGUGUGAAAAAUACCACGUUUUUUUUUUACACGUGAAACAUGAACACAUGUUAUAUUGCACACUGUAAACACAAUCAAAGCUUAAAAACACAGAAAGAAUGGGACCUUCAAGUACACUUUAUUUCAAUUCAAAUGCUAAUUUCAGUAUGCAUUCCUUUUCCAUUAUACUAGUGGAUCGCAAUAAACUUUUAAAAAGUGACAUCACUAAAUGACAAAAAUGAAAAGGUGCCUCAAGGGAGACUAAAGGGAAAAAGCAUAUCACACCUUGUUCAUUUUCACAGAAUGUCAGAUGACUUUCACAUUGCCCAUCCAUUAACUUCCCACCAUAACCCAGUGAAAAGCCCUAUAGCAACACUGAAUGCAUUAUACAUCACCAUUCAGACUGUAUUACAAUGCACGCACACACAAGCAGCACAGACACACACACACACACACACACACACACACACACACACACACUCUCUUAUUUAAAACUAUGCAGUUACAUUUGACUGCUGUAAAAGGAGCAAUUUAAAAAAUAAAGCUGCGCUCGGUGUCUAAAGCAGAAAGAAAAUUUAUAAAGUGGAGACUGGGGCUAGUUGUCACAGAGGCUUUAUUUUUCAUAACUAGUGUUAGUGGACACAUGUUUUAAUCCUAUUUUGGUACAAAUCAUUAAUCACAAUAUGGUUAGAUUUUCUGUGUAUGUCUUUUUUUAGUAAUGUUACAUUGUAUAUACAUUUUUGUAGUCAAGACUUCAAGGUAUGUGUCAUUAUAGAAAGUGACUAAAAGAAAUCUACCAUGAGAAAUAUUCACUGGAGUAAAAAUACUAUGCUUACAACUACAAGUACUAAAGAGAAUCUGACCAUAUUGCUUUGAUAGGUGUUACUGUAUAUCAUGAAAGUUGGUUUCAGUCCAUUACUUUGUGCAUAGCAGAGAAAUGUAAUGAUCUGUGUGGUGGGUCUCCAAUACAUUAGAGAUGAGAUGUAAAUCAUAAAGGCCUGGUUUCACAGACAAGGCUUGGCUAAAGCCAGGACUAAGCCUUAGUUAAAUUAAGACUUUUUGGUUUGUAUCUUAAAAAGGACAUUUCACAAGACUUUUAUAAGAUGUCAAAUAAAUCUUUGGUGUCCCCAGAGUACGUAUGUUAAAUAACCAUAUAGAUAAUUUAUAAUAGCAUGUUACAAUUUCCACUUUAUAGGUGUGAGCAAAAAUGUGUCGUUUUUGGGUGUGUCCUUUAAAUGCAAAUAAACUGAUCUCUGCACUAAAUGGCAGUGCUGUGGAUGGAUAGUGCAGAUUAAUGGGUGGGAUUAUCCCCUUCUGACAUCACAAGGGGAGACAGAUUUCAAUGACCUAUUUUUUCACAUGCGUGUAGAGAAUGGUUUACCAAAACUAAGUUACUGGGUUGGUAUUUAUCACAUUUUAUAGGUUAAUAGAAGCACUGGGCACCCAAUUAUAGCACUUAAACAUGGAAAAGUCAGUUUUUAUGAUAUGUCCCC